rnacentral:rRNA from 1 species
UGGGGAAUAUUGGACAAUGGGCGAAAGCCUGAUCCAGCCAUGCCGCGUGUGUGAAGAAGGUCUUCGGAUUGUAAAGCACUUUAAGUUGGGAGGAAGGGCAGUAAGCGAAUACCUUGCUGUUUUGACGUUACCGACAGAAUAAGCACCGGCUAACUCUGUGCCAGCAGCCGCGGUAAUACAGAGGGUGCAAGCGUUAAUCGGAAUUACUGGGCGUAAAGCGCGCGUAGGUGGUUCGUUAAGUUGAAUGUGAAAGCCCCGGGCUCAACCUGGGAACUGCAUCCAAAACUGGCGAGCUAGAGUAGGGCAGAGGGUGGUGGAAUUUCCUGUGUAGCGGUGAAAUGCGUAGAUAUAGGAAGGAACACCAGUGGCGAAGGCGACCACCUGGGCUCAUACUGACACUGAGGUGCGAAAGCAUGGGGAGCAAACAGG